AUGGAAGUGAGCUAAGAGAGGCCAAGCACGUCACCCACUUGAAAAGUACCAGUGUCUAUCCAGAGGGCCAGCUCAUCCUUGGCUGUACCGAAACCACGGGAAGGAGUGAGGUUAGUGGAUAGGACUCUCCGAUACGUCAACGUGAUCGUUCAAGGGCUAAGCCCUGUGGCUUGCAAGGACAGAUGAGGAGAUAGUGUGUGGAGAUAUGCUUCUGGAAACUCUGAAAGGUGAACAACACAGUUCCGGAAUGAGCAGGAUCCACAGGACAUGCAGGCCAUGAAGAUACUGCACCUGUCAGCUUAGGUUCUGUGCCUCUCUGGAUCAAACCCAGGGCCUCCUGCAUGCUCAGCAAACACUCUACAGAGCUACAGCGUUAACCAGCUCAAACUGUGCCCUGCACUCCUGACCACCAACUUCAGCGUCUCUAAAGACCUCCUCAUCUCAGGGAUGAAUUCUGAGCUCACGUUCUGGACUGCUGCCAGGAAGAAGGAAGCGGCGUUAGUUUAAAG